rnacentral:rRNA from 1 species
UAGGGAAUCUUCGGCAAUGGACGGAAGUCUGACCGAGCAACGCCGCGUGAGUGAAGAAGGUUUUCGGAUCGUAAAGCUCUGUUGUUAGAGAAGAACGUUGGUAGGAGUGGAAAAUCUACCAAGUGACGGUAACUAACCAGAAAGGGACGGCUAACUACGUGCCAGCAGCCGCGGUAAUACGUAGGUCCCGAGCGUUGUCCGGAUUUAUUGGGCGUAAAGCGAGCGCAGGCGGUUCUGUAAGUCUGAAGUUAAAGGCAGUGGCUUAACCAUUGUACGCUUUGGAAACUGGAGGACUUGAGUGCAGAAGGGGGGAGUGGAAUUCCAUGUGUAGCGGUGAAAUGCGUAGAUAUAUGGAGGAACACCGGUGGCGAAAGCGGCUCUCUGGUCUGUAACUGACGCUGAGGCUCGAAAGCGUGGGGAGCAAACAGG